rnacentral:rRNA from 1 species
UAGGGAAUCUUCCACAAUGGACGCAAGUCUGAUGGAGCAACGCCGCGUGAGUGAAGAAGGCUUUCGGGUCGUAAAACUCUGUUAUUGAAGAAGAACGUGUGUGACAGUAACUGGUCAUGCAGUGACGGUAUUCAAUCAGAAAGUCACGGCUAACUACGUGCCAGCAGCCGCGGUAAUACGUAGGUGGCAAGCGUUGUCCGGAUUUAUUGGGCGUAAAGCGAGUGCAGGCGGUCUUUUAAGUCUGAUGUGAAAGCCUUCGGCUUAACCG